rnacentral:rRNA from 1 species
AUUGAACGCUGGCGGCAGGCCUAACACAUGCAAGUCGCACGAGUGGCGGACGGGUGAGUAAUGUCUGGGAAACUGCCUGAUGGAGGGGGAUAACUACUGGAAACGGUAGCUAAUACCGCAUACCAUCGGAUGUGCCCAGAUGGGAUUAGCUAGUUGGUUGGGGAACGGCUCACCAGGUCGACGAUCCCUAGCUGGUCUGAGAGGAUGCCCAGCCACACUGGAACGGAGACACGGUCCAGACUCCUACGGGAGGCAGCAGUGGGGAAUAUUGCACAAUGGGGUCAAGCCUGAUGCAGCCAUGCCGCGUGUAUGAAGAAGGCCGUCGGGUUGUAAAGUACUUUCAGCGGGGAGGCGUUACCCGCAGAAGAAGCACCGGCUAACUCCGUGCCAGCAGCCGCGGUAAUUC